AUUUAGGCUAGAAUUUAGUUUAGCCGACAUGCGUAAUAAAAAAUUUUAUUUGGCUCGUUUUUAAUAGCGAUCCGGGCAGGUCGUAUUAUUUAAAUCGUUAAACAAUUUUUCCUUUAUAUUUAUCGACUAAUUUAAAAUCGAUUUAUUUAAUUUUUUCAACCUAAAAAUUACGAAAAAUAAUUUGGGCGUUUUUGUAAAUACGUUUUAUUUGCCCGACCGAAGGAUUUAUAUCGUUAAAACCAAUUGGAAAAAAAAAUUUUUCGGUUGAAAAUAACGACGAUAUUUUUCCAAAUUUUGUUUAUAUCCGCUUUAAUUCUUUCGUUUUAUUUUACCUGCUGGAUAAUUUUUAUCGUUUACCUCGAUUAUUUAUAUAUUUUACGUAUUGGAAAUUAAUUAAUUCGCCAAUUAAUCGAAAUAAUAUUUGACCAAAAUAUUUUAUUUUACGUUAAACGAUUUACGAUUUUUUGUUGAAUUCCGAAAUUUGUUAAAAUUGGGGAAAUAAACGGCAAAAAUUAAAAUAAAAAAAAGCCCGAAAACCAAAAAAAUGCAAAAAACGGGAUCGAUUGGGUUUUCGAUUGGAAACCCGUUGGAUUCGCAAACGAAAAAAUAAUAAUUUAUAUAUAUAUAAUAUAUUAGCCCCGAAUUAGUUCCCAUAUAAAAAAAUGGUUUGGAUUUAUUUUAAUAUUAAUUAAUUUGGACCCCUUUUAAUAUUUUAGAUUUUAUUUGUAGCGAAUUUAUAUCGCCUAGUAUAUUGGUUUAAAAAAAAUUAGAAAAAAAACGUUAUUAUUUCGGAUUAUCCGGCGAAAAAAGGCCGAAACCGUUGGAUAAUUCCGGGUUAUGGGCCAAAUCCUAAACCAAUUUACUAUCCGGACCUAAUCGAAACCGUAUCCGACGGUAUUUUUUCCGCCCCCGGCCGACCGAAACCCAAAAUAAACCCGGCCAAUUUAUUUUUUAUUUACCGGCCGAAAACGUAUAAAUCCAAACCAAUUUAAUAUAUUUAUAUAUUUAUUCCCUCUAUAAUUAAAAUAUUAAAAACGGUAAAUAUUUUUACAUUUUUAUAACCGGAAAAAACUAGAACCCAACCCAUUUCCAUAAUUAUAUUACCAACCCAAAUUUUUUAACCUAUUAAUAGGGAAUAUAGGUUUAAUAAUAUAAAUAUAUUUUUUAUUUACAAAACCUAAAUAUUUUGUCGCAUUUAAUUAUAUUAAAUUAACGCGGGCAACCACGAAUAAAAAUAACCGCAAUUCCCGAUUAAAUUAAAAAUAAUAAUAUCAAAUACAAAAUUGGCAAAAAGUAUUUGGGUUAUUUUCCGAUAUCGGUAAUUACGGAAUAAUAAAAAAAAUAAAAAAAGGUGAAAAUCUUUUUCCAAAGUUUUGAAAAAUUUAACCGCCGAAAAAUUUUAAAAAAAUAACGUACGAAUAAUAAAAAACGCGUGGUGGAUAAUUUUUUAUUUAGUUUGGACGCAUUUUACGUUUUAAUUAAAUACGAUUUUGACGAUUUUUUUUUUUUAAAAAAUUCUAUUUUUGUCGGUUAAUGCCCGCAUUUUUAUUUUUUGGAAAUUGCUGGCCGUUACCGGGAUUUUUUUAAAUUUUAUUCGGAAAUAAAAAACCAAAAUAUCCAUUUGUUUUAAUAAAAAAAUUUCUUACUAUUAUUACCAUUACCAACCCCAAUUUUUUCGACAAGGCCGGAAUUAUUAUUCAUUAUAAUUUUAUUUCGCCAAUUUAUUUUUAACGGUAAAAACCUCUAUUAUAAUUUAAUAUAAAAUUAUAUGGACGCGGUCGAAUUUAACGUUAUAAUAUAUUUUGGUUACGGAAUUCGGGCAAAAUUCGUCCAACGAAUAAUAUUUAAAAAAAUUUAACAAAUAACGCCAAACGUUAAUACCGAAAAUUUAAUUUAAUUAAAAUUAAAAAUUGGAAAAUAAUAAAAACGAGGUUUUUUACCAAAUACCGCGUCGACGAAAGAAAUAUCGCUGAAAGAUUUUUAAAAAUUGGUUUUGAAAUUUAUAAUUUAAAACGUAAAAUUGGCGAAUUUAUAAAUAAUUACGUUAAACGUUCCCUAAAAUUAAACAAAAAAAUUACCGAUAUAAUUUAAUAAUUAAUUUUUAUUAACCGAUUUUUGGCCGGUAAAUUAAAUGGAAAAAAUGGGCGCCCUUUUAAAAUUUAAUUGGAAAUUAUUUUUAUCGCCAAAAAUUGGAUAUUAUUUGAUAAAAAGGUUAUUAUUAGCACAAUUGGUUUCGAAGAUUUCGUCAAAAUUUUCGACGGUUAUAUAAUUUUAUACGGCGAAAUUAUUGGAAAUAUAUCCGAUUCGGACGAAUUCGAUAUAAACAAUUUUGAUAUAAGUUCCAGGGCGGAUAAAAAAUGGAAAUAUAUCGCGGAAAAAUAAAUUAUAACCCUGUCCAAUUUGCAUAUAAUUUUAAAUAUAACCCACCAAUUUCGCCAAAUUCGACUUUAACCAACCCCAAUUGUAAUAAAUUUUAAAAUUCCGCGCACCCGGUUAAUUAUUAACCCCGUUAAAAAGAAUUUUAAUUAAAUGUCCGAUUUAACGUUAUACGUCGUUUUUUUUAGCGGAAAUAUAAAAAAUACGCCAAACCCGGGCCGCGUCCAAAAUUUACCCCGAUAUAUUAAAAUUGUGGAGAAUUAUAUUAUAAAACCGAAUAUAUUUAUAACGGUCCUAUCGACCAAAUAAUUUAUAACCAACGUCGGAAUAAUUAA
rnacentral:sRNA from 1 species